rnacentral:rRNA from 1 species
CGACUCCGUGAAGCUGGAUUCGCUAGUAAUCGCGCAUCAGCCAUGGCGCGGUGAAUACGUUCCCGGGCCUUGUACACACCGCCCGUCAAGCCAUGGGAGCCGGGGGUGCUUGAAGUGCGUCGCCGCAAGGCGCGCCCUAGAGCAAAACCGGUGACUGGGGCUAAGUCGUAACAAGGUAUC